rfam:Small ruminant lentivirus isolate SNCR5561 gag protein and pol protein genes, partial cds.
AGGGGGCCACGUGUGGUGCCGUCCGCGCCCCCUAUGUUGUAACAGAAGCACCAC